CUUGAACAAUCCUGAAGUUCUAUGAAACCCACUCUAAACCAUCAAUUUAGUUUACCCAUUUCUCAUACAGAGGGUAAGGUGAAACUAACUCUGAAAGGAAUUUGUCCAAGUCUAGAUAAGACAUGCAGAUCAUGUCCCACUGUUCAGUUCAGUAAUAGAUGCUAUGAAUUCCCAAGAGGACCAGCAGAUUCUUUCAACCACGUCACCCAGAUUCAAGACACAGAGGUUCCAGUUCAGUUACUGUGCAUUACAGCUUCAGAUAUCUAAAGGGAACACACUGAUUAGUUAAGACUUGUUUUUAGGCAAAAAUAUAUGUGACCCAUAUUUGGAAUCAGAACAUUAGUUGCAAUCUGUGCUUGGAGGCAGACGUGUUUGUUUAUUCUACGAGUUUUUAAAGUGGCAACUCCCCUGCAGCGAAUUACUUAAUGACUCAAACACAAACCCCAAACUCCAAACUGGCUCAGGAGAGGUGACGAUUAUGGAAAAUUCUACUUCAUCUAGCCCAAAGAACUGACCACCCGUGAGCUGGGAAACAGACCUCAAAGCAGGAAAGAAACAGAAGUGUCCAAAGAAGAAAUGGAAAACACAACCCAGAAAAAGCUGACCCUCAAGAAAGAAGUCAGACUCCAGACCCGUGUCCGUUUUCCAGAACUGAAGAGCUAUACGCGCUGAGCAAGGACAUACUAAGUUUCCUGCUUCCCAUGGAGAAAAGCAAGUGCUACCCUAGCCCUUAAUUAAGGAUGUUAUCAUUGGUGACAAUGAUGGAGGAUUCUUUACCACUGAGCCACCAAGGACAUCCCACAUGCAAAGACUGGCAAAGCAGGGGAAUCAGAACUCAGCCCCUUGGCCCCUAUAGAAGGAUCUUCUCAUCUUCAGAACCCCCAUGAGAUCAAGAUCAGCUGAGGCCUUUCCUGAGAUCAUAUCACAGCUUCUUGACUGCCUGGAGGUGAAGAAAGUCUAGCUUGAGAUUGGUCUGCUGUUCAUGGGGUAGCCAUGGUUGAAGAACCAGGCUGCUGGGACAGUUGUGUCUCAUUUCCUCAGCCUCUGGCUGGGGUACCGGCAUGUCACGUCGUGUCUCAGACCCAGCUGUGUGGAGCAGAAACAGUACAGGACAGAGGGAAAAUCAUAAUGCC
ensembl:lncRNA